AAAACAUACAUGUUUUACAUUGUUUUGGUUGUUAAAAAAAACUGUUUUCUUUACCUUAGAUACUGGUUAUUGUCCUAAUUGGCAUUUUGUUUUCAUUAUAUCAUAUAUUUGUAUCUUUCAUUUGAAUCAUUUGCAUUUUAAGUUUUUUAUGUGCAUUCCAGAAGAAGUUCAAGCAUUUUUAAAGGUUGUUAUAAAUAGCUUUUACAACAGUUUGUUACUUGUAAAGAAUUUGUACUUGUUCAAUGUGGGGUAUCUAAUUUUUCAGUAAAUAUUUGGUUCGAAGUUUACAUUCUGUUUAUUAUUGAAAAGUAACUGUUUUAAUCAACAAACUUAACAUUUCUUUUGCUAUUUCAUCUACCGGUACUUAUAGUUCAUGUAUUUUUCGGGUAUUUGGGGGGGGGGGGGGGGUGUCAAUUUGAAAUUCAAGCUAGAUAACCGGUACAUGUAUUUUGUUUUAUUUUUUACAAUGCUAUUGUAAACAAACUUUUAUUUGCUGCGACUAUAUUUCGCAAUUUACAGGGAUAAAUUGUUUGACAACAGGCCUUAUUCACAGCCUUAUGAAAAAAACGAGUUCGCGGCUAGAUAUAUUUAAAGCAACAAGGCACUAUUGAACCUCUCGAAAAUUUUGGGCAUUCAAAUAAAAGUUGGUUUACUCUAUUCUUUGCGGCAAUGAUCUGUUAUUAAUGUGAUUUUUUUCCUUUUUAUUUGUUAUUCACAUUUAUUGUCAAUAAAGUUAUU
rnacentral:sRNA from 1 species